rnacentral:rRNA from 1 species
CUGGGGAGUACGUUCGCAAGAAUGAAACUCAAAGGAAUUGACGGGGGCCCGCACAAGCGGAGGAACAUGUGGUUUAAUUCGAUGAUACGCGAGGAACCUUACCUGGACUUAAAUGUAGAUUGACCGGCUUAGAAAUAGGCUUUCUCUUCGGAGCAAUUUACAAGGUGCUGCAUGGUUGUCGUCAGCUCGUGCCGUGAGGUGUCGGGUUAAGUCCCAUAACGAGCGCAACCCCUAUCGUUAGUUGCUAACAGGUUAAGCUGAGGACUCUAGCGAGACUGCCACCGUAAGGUGAGAGGAAGGUGGGGAUGACGUCAAAUCAGCACGGCCCUUACGUCCAGGGCUACACACGUGUUACAAUGGCCAGUACAAAGGGCAGCUACCAGGUGACUGGAUGCUAAUCUCAAAAGCUGGUCUCAGUUCGGAUCGGAGUCUGCAACUCGACUCCGUGAAGUUGGAUUCGCUAGUAAUCGUAGAUCAGCAACGCUACGGUGAAUACGUUCCCGGGCCUUGUACACACCGCCCGUCAAGCCAUGGAAGCCGAGGGGACCUGAAGUACGUAACCGCAAGGAGCGUCCUAGGGUAAAAUUGGUAACUGGGGCUAAGUCGUAACAAGGUAGCCGUACCGGAAGGUGUGGCUGGAACACCUCCUUUCUAGAGAUU